rnacentral:SRP_RNA from 1 species
GCUAGACAUGGUGGUGCACACCAGUAGCCUCAGCUACUGGGAGACUGACUGAUCUCUUGAGCUUGGGAAUUCUGAACUGUGGUGGGCUUUGCUGAUUGAGCAUCUGCACGAAGUUCAGCAUCAACAUGGUGAGACCCUUGGAGUGAGGAUUCACCAGGUUGCCUGAGGAGGGGCAAACCAGCCCAGGUCGGAAACAGAGGUCACAGAUCCUAUACAGGUCAAUAGUGGAAAUGAACCUUUAAGAAGCCCCUGCACUUUCAGCCAGGUGAGAUAGAGAGACAUACACUUUU